rnacentral:rRNA from 1 species
UCGAGAAUUUUUCUCAAUGGGGGAAACCCUGAAGGAGCGACGCCGCGUGGAGGAUGAAGGUUUUCGGAUUGUAAACUCCUGUCAUUCGGGAACAAUUGCACGGAUUUAACUGAUCUGUGUUUGAUAGUACCGGAAGAGGAAGAGACGGCUAACUCUGUGCCAGCAGCCGCGGUAAUACAGAGGUCUCAAGCGUUGUUCGGAUUCAUUGGGCGUAAAGGGUGCGUAGGUGGUAAGGUAAGUUGGAUGUGAAAUCCCGGGGCUUAACCCCGGGAACUGCAUUCAAUACUGCUCUACUAGAGUACUGGAGAGGAGAUUGGAAUUCACGGUGUAGCAGUGAAAUGCGUAGAUAUCGUGAGGAAGACCAGUGGCGAAGGCGAAUCUCUGGACAGUUACUGACAC